rnacentral:rRNA from 1 species
GGGGAAUUUUGGACAAUGGGGGCAACCCUGAUCCAGCCAUCCCGCGUGUGCGAUGAAGGCCUUCGGGUUGUAAAGCACUUUUGGCAGGGAAGAAACGCCUCGCCCUAAUACGGGGAGGAACUGACGGUACCUGCAGAAUAAGCACCGGCUAACUACGUGCCAGCAGCCGCGGUAAUACGUAGGGUGCAAGCGUUAAUCGGAAUUACUGGGCGUAAAGCGUGCGCAGGCGGUUUGGAAAGAAAGGUGUGAAAUCCCAGAGCUUAACUUUGGAACUGCACUUUUAACUGCCAGGCUAGAGUAUGUCAGAGGGGGGUAGAAUUCCACGUGUAGCAGUGAAAUGCGUAGAGAUGUGGAGGAAUACCGAUGGCGAAGGCAGCCCCCUGGGAUAAUACUGACGCUCAUGCACGAAAGCGUGGGGAGCAAAC